AGAGCGUAGGGUGAAUGCCUUGGCAUUAAGAGCCGAAGAAGGACGCGGUUAACUGCGAAAAGCCAUGGGGAGCUGUAAGCAAGCAUUGAUCCAUGGAUAUCCGAAUGGGGAAACCCGGCGGUCGUAAUGGGCCGUCACCGUUACAUGAAUAAAUAGUGUAACGGGGGGAACCCGGUGAACUGAAACAUCUAAGUAGCCGGAGGAAGAGAAAGAAAGAUCGAUUUUCUUAGUAGCGGCGAGCGAACGGGAAAGAGGCCAAACCGGGACUCUACGGAGUACCGGGGUUGAGGACCUGCGGAAUCGAAGUUGGAGAUAGUCGAAGACGGUUGGAAAGCCGAACCGGAGAGGGUAAAAGUCCCGUAGGCGAAAUCAAAGACGAGAGGCGGGUAUCCAGAGUACCACAGGACACGAGUAAUCCGGUGGGAAGCAGGGGGGUCCACCCCCCAAGCCUAAAUACUACUUAAUGACCGAUAGCGUAUAGUACCGUGAGGGAAAGGUGAAAAGAACCCCGGGAGGGGAGUGAAAGAGAACCUGAAACCCUAUGUUUACAAGCAGAGGGAGCGAAAGCGACCUCGUACUUUUUGUAGAACGGGCCGGCGAGUUACUGUGUGCAGCGAGGUUAAGGCGUAGAGCGCCGGAGCCGAAGCGAGAGCGAGUCUGAAGAGGGCGAAAGUUGUGCGCAGUAGACCCGAAACCGGGUGACCUAUCCAUGGACAGGAUGAAGCGGCGGUAAGACGCCGUGGAGGUCCGAACCACACGUAUGUUGAAAAAUGCGGGGAUGAGCUGUGGAUAGCGGAGAAAUUCCAAUCGAACUCGGAGAUAGCUGGUUCUCCCCGAAAUAGCUUUAGGGCUAGCCUCGUUUUAGAUUACCGGGGGUAGAGCACUGAAUGGGCUAGGGGGCCACAAAGCUUACCGAACCCUAUCAAACUUCGAAUACCGGAUAAUUGAUGAACGGGAGUCAGACGGCGGGAGAUAAGUUUCGUCGUCAAAAGGGAAACAGCCCAGAUCUACGACUAAGGUCCCAAAAUCACAGUUAAGUGGAAAAGGAUGUGCAGUUGCACAGACAACCAGGAUGUUGGCUUAGAAGCAGCCACUCAUUUAAAGAGUGCGUAAUAGCUCACUGGUCGAGUGAUUGUGCGCCGAAAAUGUACCGGGGCUAAACUGUGUACCGAAGUCUAGGGAUCGUGAUAAACGAUCGGUAGGGGAGCAACGUGUGCGGGCUGAAGCCGAAGCGGAAGCGACGGUGGACUGCACGGGAGAGAGAAUGCCGGCAUGAGUAGCGAGAGCAAAGUGAGAAUCUUUGCCGUCGAAAGCCUAAGGUUUCCUGAGGAAGGCUCGUCCUCUCAGGGUAAGUCAGGACCUAAGCCGAGGACAAAAGUCGUAGGCGAUGGACAACUGGUUGAUAUUCCAGUACCACCUUUAGCGUUUGACUGAAGCAGUGACACAGAAGGAUAGACAGAGCGCGUGACUGGUAGAGCGCGUCCAAGCGAUGAGGGAGUUAAGUAGUGAAGAACGCUUAACAAUCCUGGGUCGUGAUGGGGACUGAAAAUAAGUAGGGAAGCUGUUGAAUUCACGCUGGCGAGAAAAGCUGCUAAGGAGCGAAAGGGUGCCUGUACCGCAAACCGACACAGGUAGGCGAGGAGAGAAUCCUAAGACGAGCGGGAGAACCCAUGUUAAGGAACUCGGCAAAAUGACCCUGUAACUUCGGGAUAAAGGGAGCCACGAGAGCGGCCGCAGAGAAUAGGCCCAAGCGACUGUUUACCAAAAACACAGGUCUGUGCGAAGUAGAGAUACGACGUAUACGGGCUGACGCCUGCCCAGUGCCGGAAGGUUAAGGGGAAGUGUUAGGGCAACCGAAGCACGGAACUUAAGCCCCGGUGAACGGCGGCCGUAACUAUAACGGUCCUAAGGUAGCGAAAUUCCUUGUCGGGUAAGUUCCGACCCGCACGAAUGGCGUAACGACUUGGGCACUGUCUCAACAUGGGACCCGGCGAAAUUGUAGUAUGUGUGAAGAUGCACAUUACCCGCGAUAGGACGGAAAGACCCCGUAGAGCUUUACUGUAGUUUAACAUUGGAUUUCGGUAACAUAUGUACAGGAUAGGUGGGAGGCGAAGAACCAGGGACGCCAGUUUCUGGGGAGCCGACCUUGGGAUACCACUCUUGUGUUAUUGGAGUUCUAACGAAUUGCCGUGAACCGGGAUUCGGACAGUGUUAGAUGGGCAGUUUGACUGGGGCGGUCGCCUCCCAAAGAGUAACGGA
rnacentral:rRNA from 1 species